rnacentral:tRNA from 1 species
GCGGGAUUAGUUUAAUGGUAGAACAGUCGUUUUCCAAACCUCUGACAGGAGUUCGAUUCUCCUAUCUCGCUCCA